GUCCACGCUGUAAACGAUGGGUGCUGGGUGCUGGGAUGUAUGUCUCGGUGCCGUAGCUAACGCGAUAAGCACCCCGCCUGGGAGUACGGUCGCAAGGCUGAAACUCAAAGAAAUUGACGGGGCCCGCACAAGCGGUGGAGUAUGUGGUUUAAUUCGAUGCAACGCGAAGAACCUUACCCAGGCUUGACAUCUAGGGAACCCUUCGGAAAUGAAGGGGUGCCCUUCGGGGAGCCCUAAGACAGGUGCUGCAUGGCUGUCGU
rnacentral:rRNA from 1 species